AAAUUACACUCGUUAGAUACACAAAACACCACGUGCGCUACUGGGAGUCAAGCAGCCAACUUCUGACUGAUGGUGAGCAGUAUUAUCUGUCUGCUUCCUCUUGCAACUUCGGCUGUUUCCGUGGAGCUAUAGUCGAACGACGGACUGCAACUGCAUCAACGAGAGUUUAGAGUAGUUAAGUGGGAACGUUGAAAGAGCGUGUGGUUGAUUGGUGUUUUGUUGUGGAGCGAAGGAUAUUUGUUGUUCAUUAUUUUUUUAAAAAAAAAUUGGUGACGUAGUGACACGCUCUGUAGAAUGAUACGGAUUCGAGGACCAGAGGAAUUAACUGCAGAGGAAAAGAAGAAAGCGAAAGAAGGAGUAAUAGGGAACAUUACAACGUUUUUCCUUUUAAUUGCAUUAAUCAGAGCAGUUCCAUACGCUCUGAAACAGUUUUGAUGACUGGAAAAUCAUGAGGAAACUUUGUUUAAAAACAUGUGUCCUGUCGAACAAUCCACGCCUUUUGUGGCGUGGAAACUUUUGUAAAAUUUUUGUAGGUAUUGUUAAGCAGCCAGUCGGCCAAUGAACAUAGCAAAAACUGAUGUCGAUAGAGGAAAUCAUUUUAACAGUUAUAAGCAGAAAAAAAAAAUUAUCUCCAAGUUCCUUACAUUUGUUUUAUUAAGGAACAGCGAAAAAAAAAACAUUAUUUUGCAUUGUGUUUGUUUAAUGAACAUGUAAAACAUUAAGAGUAUAUUUUGCUACUGAACUGCUGGACAGAAACUUGAAUAACAAGUUACUAGUAUUACAGUUGGUCAGAUUCAUACAUGGAAAACUUCAUAAGUAAUAGAAUGAAGGUUGCUUGUGUAUUACCCAAAUGUUUGAAUAUAUGAGCCAUCUGGAGUUCUUAGUUUA